rnacentral:misc_RNA from 1 species
AAAGUCGUAACAAGGUUUCCGUAGGUGAACCUGCGGAAGGAUCAUUACCGAGUGAGGGUUCCUUGCGAGCCCAACCUCCCACCCGUGUUUAACUAUACCGUGUUGCUUCGGCGGGCCCACUGGGGCCCGUUCCUGGUCGCCUGGGGGCGUGAAACCCCCCGGGCCCGUGCCCGCCGGAGACCCCUUGAACCCUGAGUGAAUCGAGUGUCGUCUGAGUUUGAGUUAAAUCAUUAAAACUUUCAACAACGGAUCUCUUGGUUCCG